rnacentral:rRNA from 1 species
UACGAAGGGUGCAAGCGUUAUUCGGAAUCAUUGGGCGUAAAGCGCGCGCAGGCGGAUCAGCAAGUCAGAUGUGAAAUCUCGGAGCUCAACUCCGAAACUGCGUCUGAAACUGCUAGUCUAGAGUGUCGGAGGGGGUAGGGGAAUUUCACGUGUAGGGGUAAAAUCCGUAGAGAUGUGAAGGAACACCGGGGGCGAAGGCGCCUACCUGGACGACUACUGACGCUGAGGCGCGAAAGCGUGGGGAGCAAACGGG